rnacentral:rRNA from 1 species
GACGAACGCUGGCGGCGUGCUUAACACAUGCAAGUCGAACGGAAAGGCCCUGCUUUUGUGGGGUGCUCGAGUGGCGAACGGGUGAGUAACACGUGAGUAACCUGCCCUUGACUUUGGGAUAACUUCAGGAAACUGGGUCUAAUACCGGAUAGGAGCUCCUGCUGCAUGGUGGGGGUUGGAAAGUUUCGGCGGUUGGGGAGGGACUCGCGGCUUAUCAGCUUGUUGGUGGGGUAGUGGCUUACCAAGGCUUUGACGGGUAGCCGGCCUGAGAGGGUGACCGGCCACAUUGGGACUGAGAUGAGGCCCAGACUCCUACGGGAGGCAGCAGUGGGGAAUAUUGCACAAUGGGCGGAAGCCUGAUGCAGCCACGCCGCGUGCGGGAUGACGGCCUUCGGGUUGUAAACCGCUUUCGCCUGUGACGAAGCGUGAGUGACGGUAAUGGGUAAAGAAGCACCGGCUAACUACGUG